AAAAAGGGCUUCUGUUGUGAGUGGCACAGGUAGAGCAGAGAUUGAUUGCUCUACAUGCAGAAUCCACAUCAAGAGAUUUGGGAAGCAUAGUUUUUGGUAUUUGGGCAGCUGGUGAUCGUUGGUUCUGGUGCCCAA